UUGAUGUGACAGCGCCAGUAAACGGAUCCCCACCAUGACCGAACGAGCACCGCGAGCUCCGCGGAGCUGAGGCGCGGGCGAGCGCACAGGGCGCGGGAGCGCGCUUCCCUUACUCCCACUUCCCGAAGAUCCAAUCGGAGACGACCGGCGGUUUCAAGGCGCCCUCGCAGGUCCCCGAAAGGCGAAAACAAAGCGCGGGAUACGAUAAAUAUUGGUUAACGUGAUCCGAAUUCGGUUCGAGAUAUGUUCGUUCGGGCUGAGAUUUUGACGAGGGCGAUUGGUUCGGGGUUUUCUUUGUCCCAAGUGUAAGUUCAGUGGGGUUGUUUAUCUGUAGUAAGGGGAACUUGAAACCGGCCCGCCCAUUUCCUCGGGUGUUUCGCUCCUUCGCCCGGAUUCUCCAUGUUGGAGCGGCGGCAGGCUGGCAGCGGGCUCACUGGGGGCGGGGGUACGCUGGACGGUGCAAGGCGACCCAAGACACGGCGCCCCUGCAUCAAGAGAAGUGCAAGGGAGUUGGAGAGAGAUGGGGUAUGCAGCAGCUGGUGCGGUCCCCCGGGCUGGAAGCGCAGUGGGAGAGGACGCUCCGCCGCCGCCCACAGCAGGUUGUCAGCAGAGCAGGUUUCAUCGUGCCUGCGGGAGCUGAAGGGACCAUGUGACACCAUGUGACAUCGAGCGAAAGCUCCAGGGCAUGUGCAACGUGACGUGAAGCCUCAUGCCUGUGAAUGGUUGUCUGGCGUAUGUCCUGCAGGGGGCGCUCUGUGUGCCCCCAGCGGCCCGGAUCCCCAACCUGAGAGUACCUGGCCUGACCCAGCUGCUCAACAUGCUGCCUGUCGCUGAGGACCGGAGCCCCGUGGCACCGCAGAGAGGAGCUGUCAGCCAUUUGGCAUGAAACGUCACUGGCUUCAAUGUCAGCCGUCUUCUUAAGAUCUUUGAGGGGCAGCCCAUCCAGCAGGGCUGUGUGGAAAUUGUCCCGCCUUAACAUCUCCCACCUCCCUGCAGCAGCAUGGCGUCGAAUCUUGUAAAUGAGAGUAAUAGGAGAGCCGUGCUGUCCCGGCAGCAGAUGGCCUGGCUCAGCGAAGCCCUGCGCCCUUUUCAGAAUCUCUUCAGCUUUUUAAUGUGCGGAAAAUACAGCUGUAUAUGUAACACAUAUGGGCUGAAGCUGACUUAAGGUGACUAAAAAAAAUUGGGUCCGGAGGGCCUGUCUACUCGCUUGAUACCAGCCUGGCUUCAACACAAUGUUUAAAUGGGGUUAGGGUUCAGCGAUGCUUUUAAUUAACUAUUGGAAGUGAGUAGCACUAGAAGCACCUUGUGGAAAAUGUGAUGUAUUAAGGUGACCUAUAAUUAAAGUGCUGUUCACAUUU